rnacentral:tRNA from 1 species
CAGGGAGACAACAACUGAUCGUGAUGUCUGAGUUAAUUAUGCUUAGGCCAUGAUCCUGUCACCUUAGGUCGAUCGGUACCUCAAGUUCAUGAUAAUAAUGACUUAUAUAAGUUCGUAUUAUUUAACUUCAGUUCCUAAACUUGUCUAGGUCACACCCAACAAAAGGGUACUCCUGGGCCAUUAGCUCAGGUGGUUAGAGCGCACCCCUGAUAAGGGUGAGGUCCCUGGUUCAAGUCCAGGAUGGCCCAUUCGUGUUGGGGGUAUAGCUCAGUUGGUAGAGCGCCUGCUUUGCAAGCAGGAUGUCAGCGGUUCGAGUCCGCUUACCUCCACUGAUCACACUCCUAAUGGCGAAAAAUAAGGAGAUUACCUUUGAGUUGUGACUUAGAAAUUGUUUUAACUGGAUCAAUGAACCUAGCUUCCUAUCAUUCCAGGUCUAAUUAUUAGAUGAGGUUGACAGGACGCUGGGCUCACUUAAGUCUUUUUUGAUUUGAGUGAUUUCAGUAGAACCUUGACAACUGCAUAGGUGAGUCUGGAAAGAAAAAGCAUCUCAUGGAUAUUAUUCUUUGAAUUCUUGAGCAAUUCUCCAAAGGAAUUAAUUAGGUAAUUCAACAAGAAGAAUAAUAAUUCUUGAGCAAGAGCAGAGACUCUAUAGUUUCCCUCAGUAUUUUUAUUGAGGUGAUUAAGAUUCAAGUGAUUAUUCAAUUUGAAUUCUAAUUAUUAGAUAACUAUAGAAAUUAUU